rnacentral:rRNA from 2 species
AGCCAGCGAUCAGUAACUGGUGUGAGAGCACGACCAGUCACACGGGCACUGAGACACGGGCCCGACUCUACGGGAGGCAGCAGUAAGGAAUAUUGGUCAAUGGACGCAAGUCUGAACCAGCCAUGCCGCGUGGAGGAUGAAGGUCCUCUGGAUUGUAAACUUCUUUUAUCUGGGACGAAAAAGGGCCUUUCUAGGUCAACUGACGGUACCAGAUGAAAUAAGCACCGGCUAACUCCGUGCCAGCAGCCGCGGUAAUACGGAGGGUGCAAGCGUUAUCCGGAUUCACUGGGUUUAAAGGGUGCGUAGGCGGGCAUGUAAGUCCGUGGUGAUAUCUCCGAGCUUAACUCGGAAACUGCCAUGGAUACUAUGUGUCUUGAAUGUUGUGGAGGUGAGCGGAAUAUGUCAUGUAGCGGUGAAAUGCUUAGAUAUGACAUAGAACACCAAUUGCGAAGGCAGCUCACUACACAAAUAUUGACGCUGAGGCACGAAAGCGUGGGGAUCAAACAGGAUUAGAUACCCUGGUAGUCCACGCCCUAAACGAUGAUUACUCGACAUACGUGAUACACCAAUGUGUGUCUGAGCGAAAGCAUUAAGUAAUCCACCUGGGAAG